UCGAGACCUACAAAGUAAACUUGCGAACACGUUUUCAACAUGCUAGGAUUUGUGCUGCUGGAUGCUAUGUCGUCCCUCAUUGCAGUUCCUUCCUGACGACACACGCUUGCGUGGGUCGCUUGAAUUAACCAAAAUCCCGGCGCGGCAUGCGCCAAGGAAAACUAUCACGAGAAUGCUUGUUCCUGUGAGGCACCGUUCGCGGUGCAUUGCUGGAUUACACGCGCCUCUUGAAUCACUAAACGACUCUCGGCAACGGAUAUCUCGGCUCUCGCAUCGAUGAAGAACGUAGCGAAAUGCGAUACUUGGUGUGAAUUGCAGAAUCCCGUGAACCAUCGAGUCUUUGAACGCAAGUUGCGCCCAAAGCCAUUAGGCCGAGGGCACGUCUGCCUGGGCGUCACGCAUCACGUCGUCCCCUCCCAUCCCUUUCACCAUUGAAAGUGGUGUAUCCGAGGGGACGGAUAUUGGCCUCCCGUUCUGCUCUUGUGCGGCCGGCCUAAAUUUGAUUCCGGUUUGAUGGAUGUCACAACUAGUGGUGGUUUGACCAAUCGCGUGCUGUUGUGCAAUAAUCUCGUCUAUACUGUCGAUAUCAUUUUGCUGACCCUUCAAUGCCAUGUGCUUCCGAUU
rnacentral:rRNA from 1 species